rnacentral:misc_RNA from 1 species
AGGCAAAGACAGGAGGCUGCAGCACUAGCGGCAGCAGAGGUUGCUUUCAUGCUGCAAGCAGGGCAACAUAGGGGCUUGCAUGUAACAAUAGCACCAGGACCUGCACAGGCAGCAGAACCUUCAGCAGCACCAGCAAACCCAACUACCCAUGUUGCAACACCAACUGGCCAGGUCACAACUCCUCCUCCGGAGCUAGUAUAAAUGGCUUUGCUCAGCUGGCAUGUUAAACGCUGUUGCUGAUGAUGACAUUGUACUUUGUAAGUUGCAAAAGCUAAGAGAACAGAGGUUCUUUUUUUACUGUCGAUGUAUUAGUCGUAUCUUAGCCCUGCCAAAUACAGAGGCUGAAAUUGUUCCCUUUUGUACAAUAUUUACAUUAAUGCUUGAACAU